UCCUUGGUGGUCUAGUGGUUAGGACUCAGCACUUUCACUGCUAUAGCUCAGGUUCAAUCCCUGGUCUGGGAA
rnacentral:tRNA from 1 species